CUGCCUGGCCUCUUGCUUGUGUCUGCUGGAUGCAUGUGACCUCUCAGCAAUAGAAUGGGCAUCUGAUAGGGUUGAGACCGUGCUGGGCCCAUACUUUCACUUUGGUGCCUUGGCAAAGCAUGAACUAUAUUAACAUAUACUUGGAAUAACUGAAAUUACACUGAAGCUCCCAUGAAAACUGAAUGCAAAAUCUAUUUCCAUAGCCAGCAAAGCUCACCAGCAUCCCUUUGACUAAGGAGCUGGGAGGUACCCCAAGUACCUUACAGUGCACUUCUCAGUGUAAAGAGCCAUCCAUGAGCAAAAGCUUUAAAGAAGCUUGGGAUCAAAGCAUUAAGAACAGAAUAGGCAUCUUCAUGAGCACACCAUUGAUAAACAGCAUUUCUGAAGUCUGCAAGGAAAACAUUGCACCCGCAGCCCUCUGUGUUGCAAUCUGGUCACCACCCGUCGCUCGAUAGAAACAGAGGCUGCUGUGGGUGUGACAGGUUAUGGAUUACAGAUGUCACUGAUGGAUUCCAGCCCGAAUGGUUCUGUGAUUCUGGAGAUAAGUUCUUAUCCUGUUGUUCAGGUGCACCCACGAAUAUCCUCCAAUAGAUAUCUUCCCUUCUGCUGUGUCUUUCUGUGACAGCCCUUCACUAGUUCACCUGGCAUCACUUGUACAACACCAGUAUCCAUUGACUGGGACAGAGCUUGUCCAUUUUAACAGCACCAGCAUUGCCUUUCGCUCCAGUCCACACCCACCCCCCCACUAAGCAGCACCAGCCGCUUUCCCUACUGCCCAACAGCCAGCAGCAGACAAGAAGUUUACAUUUUUCAAGAGGAUGCCAAAAGCAGCCAUUUCCUGUGCUCUUAUUACCCAGAGACCUCACGCAGCAGCCAGGCAGCUCUAUGGGUCAGGGCACCCUGCCCCUGCCUUCCAAACCCCAGCACUCCUCUCUGCUCCUGGGAUUCCUUGGAGUGCAAAGACCUCAUUAUCCAAGGGAGGGAGGAGGAAUAAUGAAGUCUUCAUGCUUUAAGACUUUGUGCAGAGAACGCAGCAAGUGAUGCUGAUAAUUGUUUCAGAGCAAGUUCUGCUUCGCUGGGGUUAUUGGAAUCAGCUCCCUCAGCUUUGUUUUGCCAGCUGUUGCAAGAGAAGCCUCCCUGAGCUAGGUAGCUCCAAGGCAUGGAAACGAAUAACACAGAAAGCUUCUCAGGACCUUGCAAAGGCUUUCUAAUGUUUUUUCAAGAUGUCUCUUGGAAAGCCACGUGGGAAAAGAUGAUUGAGAAGAAGCCCCUGACCAAGGGUGAUGCUGAGAACAUCAGCCAUUCCCUGGAUGCCAGCACUCCCUGCCCUUGAGCCCCUGGGCAGGAUGAGAUGCACCCUUCUUGCUCCCAGCCCCUGUUCCCCAGGGAAGAGCCGCAAAGAGCUGCUGCUUUGGGAUAGCAUCAGGAGGAAGCCAUCCCCAUCCUCUGGCUGCAGAGAACAGCCUGAGUUUUGCCUUUAUGAGCAUUUUCCAGACCUUCCGUCAUUGUUUUCAUGUGUUUGGUUUUAUUACACACGAUAUAAAUAUAGCACGGCUCUUCCUUUGC